GAAACCUUACAAAUGUAAUCAGUGUGAUAAAGUCUUUUCACAGUCACAUAGUCUCCAAAUACACAAAAGGACACACACUGGAGAGAAACCCUAUGUAUGUAAUCAAUGUGGUAAAGCCUUCGCAGAUAAUAGUCACCUUCGAAGACACAAAAGAACGCAUACUGGAGAGAAACCCUAUGAAUGUAACCAAUGUGGCUCAGCCUUUUCACAAAGCAGCUAUCUUAGAAUACAUAAAAGAACACAUACUGGAGAGAAACACUUUGAAUAAGCAAGCCAUAUGGUAAAGCCUUUGCAUAUAGCAGUAGUCUUAGACAACAUGAGAAAAGUCAGCCUACAGAGAAACCCCACACAUGUAGUGAGUGUGGCAAAGUUUUG
rnacentral:lncRNA from 1 species